rnacentral:rRNA from 1 species
GACGAACGCUGGCGGCGUGCCUAAUACAUGCAAGUAGAACGCUGAAGGAGGAGCUUGCUUCUCCGGAUGAGUUGCGAACGGGUGAGUAACGCGUAGGUAACCUGCCUGGUAGCGGGGGAUAACUAUUGGAAACGAUAGCUAAUACCGCAUAACAGUAGAUAUUGCAUGAUAUCUGCUUGAAAGGUGCAAUUGCAUCACUACCAGAUGGACCUGCGUUGUAUUAGCUAGUUGGUGAGGUAACGGCUCACCAAGGCGACGAUACAUAGCCGACCUGAGAGGGUGAUCGGCCACACUGGGACUGAGACACGGCCCAGACUCCUACGGGAGGCAGCAGUAGGGAAUCUUCGGCAAUGGACGGAAGUCUGACCGAGCAACGCCGCGUGAGUGAAGAAGGUUUUCGGAUCGCAAAGCUCUGUUGUAAGAGAAGAACGAGUGUGAGAGUGGAAAGUUCACACUGUGACGGUAUCUUACCAGAAAGGGACGGCUAACUACGUGCCAGCAGCCGCGGUAAUACGUAGGUCCCGAGCGUUGUCCGGAUUUAUUGGGCGUAAAGCGAGCGCAGGCGGUUAGAUAAGUCUGAAGUUAAAGGCUGUGGCUUAACCAUAGUACGCUUUGGAAACUGUUUAACUUGAGUGCAAGAGGGGAGAGUGGAAUUCCAUGUGUAGCGGUGAAAUGCGUAGAUAUAUGGAGGAACACCGGUGGCGAAAGCGGCUCUCUGGCUUGUAACUGACGCUGAGGCUCGAAAGCGUGGGGAGCAAACAGG